AAAAAUGUAAUUUUGUUAUUCAAAUGAUUAAUAGUUAUAUUCUUUAAAGUUAAAUAUUUUGGCGGUAUUUUAAUCUAUUCAGAGGAACUUGUUCUGUAAAUGAUAGUCCACGUUUGAAUUUACUUAAGUUAGAAAUUUAUAUAUCAUUGUUUUUAAAUAUUUUAAAAGAAUUUUAAUAUUUAAGAUUUUUAUUAAAAAAUAAUUCAGAUCAAGGUGUAGUUUAUAUUUAAGAAGAAAUGAGUUACAAUAAAGAAAUUUUUGGGUUAGUAAUUUAAAGUUAUUAUUAAAUUGGAUUUGAAAGUAAUUUAAAUUUAAUUAUUUAAAUGAUUAAGCUCUAAAAUAUGU
rnacentral:rRNA from 1 species